CCUUAGUCUGCUAAAUAGUCGGGCUCACUUUGGUGGGUUUCGGCUUCUUAGAGAGACUUCUUACGCAUAGUGAGAGGAAGUUUGAGGCAAUAACAGGUCUGUGAUGCCCUUAGAUGUUCUGGGCCGCACGCGCGCUACAAUGAUGGAGGCAGCAAGUAUUCACCUUGGCCGGAAGGUCUGGGUAAUCUUCUGAAUCUUUAUCGUGUUGGGGAUCGUCCCUUGUAAUUCUUGGACGUGAACGAGGAAUUCCUAGUAGGUGCAAGUCAUCAGCUUGCGCCGAUUACGUCCCUGCCCUUUGUACACACCGCCCGUCGCUACUACCGAUUGAAUGGCUUAGUGAGACAUCCGGAUCGACGAUCUUUGGGCCGCAAGGCCUGAUGGUUGUUGAGAAGUUUUUCAAACUUGGUCAUUUAGAGGAAGUAAAAGUCG
rnacentral:rRNA from 1 species